rnacentral:rRNA from 1 species
CACUCCUGCGGGAGGCAGCAGUGGGGAAUAUUGGACAAUGGGCGCAAGCCUGAUCCAGCCAUGCCGCGUGAGUGAUGAAGGCCCUAGGGUUGUAAAGCUCUUUCACCGGUGAAGAUAAUGACGGUAACCGGAGAAGAAGCCCCGGCUAACUUCGUGCCAGCAGCCGCGGUAAUACGAAGGGGGCUAGCGUUGUUCGGAUUUACUGGGCGUAAAGCGCACGUAGGCGGACUAUUAAGUCAGGGGUGAAAUCCCGGGGCUCAACCCCGGAACUGCCUUUGAUACUGGUAGUCUUGAGUUCGAGAGAGGUGAGUGGAAUUCCGAGUGUAGAGGUGAAAUUCGUAGAUAUUCGGAGGAACACCAGUGGCGAAGGCGGCUCACUGGCUCGAUACUGACGCUAAGGUGCGAAAGCGUGGGGAGCAAACAGGAUUAGAUACCCUAGUAGUCCCAUG